UUGUAGAAAACGGUCCAGUUGUCGGACAGCAGGAUUGUGUUAACCUGGAUGUGUACACUCCAAUCUUGUUUAAGUGUUUAAUUUUAAAUAUUUCAACUACAAUUUUUUGAGUGGAACUUCUUUGCGUGCAGUUGCCGCUAAAUAAUUCAUCGGUUGGGGGAAAACUUCUUCCCGUUCUGGUCUGGAUUUACGAGGGUGGAUUUGUCGAGGGGACUAAUUACGUGUAUAUGGAUGAUCCUACUUUAUGGACGAGGAUGUCGUCCUGGUCGUCAAAAAUUAUAGACUGGGCGCAUUUGGAUUUUUCAAUGCUGGAGUUGAAAGUGCGAGAGGAAAUCAAGUCCAGGCAUGAAGGACCAAGUCUUGCCGUUCCGUUGGGUACGACAAUAUCGCACAUUUUUGCGGGGACGAGGACAACGUAGUUUCACCAUUUUGGGAGAAAGCGCAGGUGGGAUUUCCGUGUCGCUUUUGACCGUGUCCUCCAUGGCAAAGGGCCUCUUGGGCGGAGCCAUCAUGAUUAGUUUGCUAGUUAUCAGUGGGUGAAGUUAGGUGAUCCCAAAGUGAUAGUUUACAAACAUUUUAAAAAUUAUCAGCAAGCUAUUCUACCCAUCGGAUUAAACUAAAGAAUGGACACUAAAGUUGUAGACAGUCAAGUUUAAAACCCUGUAAAUUUGAAACCAGUUAAUGAAAUUCCAUAUUCCAAUUGCA